rnacentral:rRNA from 1 species
GACGAACGCUGGCGGCGUGCUUAACACAUGCAAGUCGAACGGAAAGGCCCUGCUUUUGUGGGUUGCUCGAGUGGCGAACGGGUGAGUAACACGUGAGUAACCUCCCCUUGACUUUGGGAUAACUUCAGGAAACUGGGGCUAUUACCGGAUAGAAUCUCCUGCUGCAUGGUGGGGGUUGGAAAGUUUCGGCGGUUGGGGAUGGACUCGCGGCUUAUCAGCUUGUUGGUGGGGUAGUGGCUUACCAAGGCUUUGACGGGUAGCCGGCCUGAGAGGGUGACCGGCCACAUUGGGACUGAGAUACGGCCCAGACUCCUACGGGAGGCAGCAGUGGGGAAUAUUGCACAAUGGGCGGAAGCCUGAUGCAGCAACGCCGCGUGCGGGAUGACGGCCUUCGGGUUGUAAACCGCUUUCGCCUGUGACGAAGCGUGAGUGACGGUAAUGGGUAAAGAAGCACCGGCUAACUACGUG